rnacentral:misc_RNA from 1 species
AAGUGGACUGUGGAAUGCGAACAUUGUAAACUGAGUAGUGUAGUCUGCUCGGCACUCCCGGAUGUGUGGCAGUAUGUCAGUGAACUUGUUGGUGUGACUGAAUACGAAUACCGUUAAAACAAUUUUAGUAAUUUCUGAAUAAAAAGUGUCGAGGAUUGUAUUUCUGAGCGUUGUACUUUAUUGUAUCUCAGUAACUAAAAGACUCUACAAUGUCAAUAGUUAUUUCAAGAUUUUCUAUCGUGAAAAGUCUCUCUCCUGUCGCCAAGUUAGGGCACAAUUUAAAUAAGAAGAAAUUCAUACAUACUUCAUUUAUAAGAAACAAGGCCAAGCUAAUAGAUGGCCGAAAUAUUGCCAACACAAUACUGUCGGAGCUAAAACAGGAGACGGACGAAUGGGUGGCGCAGGGCAACCGUCGACCACAGUUGACUGCGAUAUUGGUGGGCGAAGACCCCGCCAGCACCACGUACGUCAAGAACAAGAUGAAGGCUGCCAAGCAAGUUGGAAUCAAGACCAGAACAAUCCACUGUUUGACAACAAUCUCGGAGAAGGAUCUACUACAGCACAUUCAUCUGUUGAACAAUGACCCCGAGGUGGACGGUAUCCUUGUUCAGUUGCCGAUUCCGGACCACAUCACCGAGCGAGCCAUCUGCAACGCCGUCGCCCCGUCCAAGGAUGUCGAUGGUUUUAAUAUUGUCAACGUCGGUCGCUUUUGCUUGGACAUGAAGACUCUGGUACCCUGCACUCCUCUCGGUGUCCAAGAACUCAUCAAGCGUUCAGGAAUCUCAACAUUUGGUAAAAAUGCUGUGGUUUGUGGAAGAUCGAAGAAUGUGGGGAUGCCGAUAGCUAUGCUGUUGCAUGCGGAUGGAGCAGGUGAGACGGCAGCAAUGGAUGCCACAACCACGAUAUGUCACCGGCACACGCCACCUGAACAGCUUGCAAUCUUCACCAGAACAGCUGACAUCAUCGUGUCUGCCGCAGGAGUUCCUAAUCUGAUAAGGGCAGACAUGGUGAAGCCAGGAGCCUGUGUGAUCGACGUUGGAAUCACUAGAACUAUCGACAAGACGACGGGCACAUCUCAACUCGUCGGUGAUGUUGAUUUUGAAGGAGUUAGCGAGGUGGCAGGUCACAUCACGCCUGUGCCGGGCGGUGUUGGGCCUAUGACAGUGGCGAUGCUGAUGCGUAACACUCUCCUGGCAGCCAAACAUGCGGUCAUCUACAACAUCCUCGACCCUCGUGCAGUCAUACACAAGGAAGCCAGUCAGCUGAGACCUUGAUAAGCCUCCAAAGCGUCUGCUCCAUGGUGCUGCUACGCCUGCAGAGAGCAGUGCGACGGGUCUCCUCUGCAGAGCUUUGUGUCUUGCAUUCGCUGGAAAUUCUGUUUGCUACUUUAAAAUUCUAUUUGGUGCCUUGAGGCAAACUCUCAUCACUGCUGCUGCACGGUUUUGUCAUGGGCAUUGUUUGCUUCAAAAAAUCUAAGUAGCAUACUAUUCUUAUUUCCAUUACACAUGGUGUAAGUACUUAAAUUGUUUAACGUACUUACUUAAAUUUAUUGAAACUUCAACUAAUCAAAUUUAUGACGUAAAACACUACGGUUUUGUGCUAAUAGUGACUGUUUACUUCCUUAAAGUCGAAUAUAGAUCUUAAAUGGUAUGGGGCAAGCAUGGCCAAUUGUUAUCUGAAAUUAAAUUUAAGCAACACUAAAAAAUGGCAGCCACUUAUUUGUGGUGUAAACUGACGAUGAAACCUUUGGUUUUAAAUGGUUUUGUCCAAAAAAUUAAGAUGAUAUUGAAAAAGUUUUAUUACAAACCUGAUAGUAAAAUGAAUUUAAGAUAGAAAAUCUUUGUGUGUUAGAGAGAGAGUGAGCUAACUAAAAAUUAAAAUGUCUACAAUCUUAAGGGCUACAAAAAGUACUGUUUAAAAGUGAAGAACACUAUUCAAUUGUGUGUUUUUAGAAAAUUAUGAUUAUUGUAGCACAACUUUUAUUAUUUUCAAUGUCCAUAUUUAAUGUUUUAAUAAUUAUUUUUAUAAACCAUAUGUACUUCUCUUCCAGUGAAAUAUCAUAUGUACCAAAUUAAUAUUAUAUUUUAGUAUUCAAAAAAAUAAAAUGUUUGGGGAGUAUCCCAAUUAAAUUUUUCUAUGUAAUUGGCUUCUUUAAAAUGUGAUAUGCCACUAGAUCUACGCUGAGAUUAUAUUUUCCACCAACUAACCCCUGAGAAGUUUCUCUGAGAAGGUGAAGUCACAAUUAGCAUAAUAGCAGUUUUUAAUGUUUUUAUUAAUAUUAUUAACUCUGCCACAUGUAUUCUACAUGUAGUACAGAUACAACGGUGAAAUUUUAAUUAACGUUUUAAACAAGAAAACCGCUAAGAUCAUGUUCAAUAUAUUAUUAUUAAAGUGAUAACUAUAAAGACAUAGAAGUAUAAAACUGCUAAGGAAUGCAUAGAUUGUCUCAAUAACCUUUGUCUCCUCUCACCUACAGUGCUGAACCAUUU